rnacentral:rRNA from 1 species
UGAGAUCGAAACGGAUAGAGCUAGCGUAUCAGGCCGGCAUUCACUGGCGAGGCAGGCGCGCGCUUUGGCUUCGCUCUCCAGAUUGGGACGGAGUUGGAGUUGUACCCGGCUAAGCUGUGCAUUUGUUGGCGAGUGCGCUGAGCAGUCCGAGGCGGCGGCAUGCACUUACUUUUGCGGCCAACAUUGUUUGGAACCCGAAGUGUGGGUAGUGCUGUUCGCCUUUGGCAAUUUGGAAUGAGGCAUGGCCCACGGGCUCUGGUGGGUGUGGAGCCGGCAGUCGGAGGCGGUCGCAUGCGACACGUGCUGGCUACUUGUUCCCGCUCGACAGGGUCCUCUUGCCCUCAGGCUCAGUGUAAGAGCUGGUCAUCUAUCCGACCCGUCUUGAAACACGGACCAAGGAGUUUAUCGUGUGCGCAAGCCAUUGGGCGUUGAAAACCUAAGGGCGCAAUGAAAGUGAAUGCAUCCGCAAGGAGCUGACAUGUGAUCCGUGGUGCUGCGGUGCCGCGGCGCAGCAUGGCCCCAUCCUGAUUGCUUGCAAUGGGGUGGAGGAAGAGCGUAUGCGAUGAGACCCGAAAGAUGGUGAACUAUUCCUGAGCAGGAUGAAGCCAGAGGAA